rnacentral:lncRNA from 1 species
CUCAGCUUUUCUUAGUGCCUAAAGUGUCUGCAAGUGGAAAUCCAGAGAAAGACAGAGAGAAAUUGAGUUCCUGACAAUGCAUUCACUAGUGAGUAGGGGAUGCCUCUUUCUACUGAAAUUAUACCUAUAUUGCUGGCAAACGGGCAGUUUUCUCCAAUUUGCAUGGGUGUUUCAUUUUUAUUCUUUUUUUUGUUUGUUGAAGCUAAGCGCACUGUCUCCCACGUAGACUUAGAAUAAAAUUUGAUGGCUCUAAAGGGCCCUGGCUGCCCUUCCUGGGACUUCCUGGGAAAGUUUAAACCUUCUGUGGUUCCUGGAGUAGGUAGGUUGCCAAGUCUGUGCCUCAUAUGGUAGCACCAGUCUUUUCUGGGCCAACAAGGGCACUUAGAAUGUUUCCAGACGCUCAGGCAUGC